AAGUCGUAACAAGGUUUCCGUAGGUGAACCUGCGGAAGGAUCCUCACAUAGCAAACGCUUUGUAUACCAAUAUUCACUCAACGCGAACUGUAACGUCCCUACUGAUUGAUUUCACUUCGUGAGAUUAGUCCGGUAGACAAUACCCCCCAGUACACGUAUUAUUUCCACAUGUGCUUCGGCUCUUGUGAAAUGAUUGUGUGCUUUUACUCACCAAUUUUUUACCCUACAACGAAAUCAUUGUCUUAUCUUUGAAUUCAUCAGUCACUUGAAACACAGAUUCAUUCUGUUGUUUGAAGUCGAUCUUUUGAUUUUACGAAAUAAUGAACAACUCUUAGUAAUGGAUAUCUUGGGUCAU
rnacentral:misc_RNA from 1 species